rnacentral:tRNA from 1 species
GGCAAGAUGGCCGAGCGGUUAAGGCGUGUGACUCAAGCUUAGCUUGCCUGCAGUGGCAGGUUUUCUCAUAACGUAAUGUUGCGUGGGUUCGAAUCCCACUCUUGUCA